UACAGCUCAACAAUUGUGCCCGACGACACCGCAUCAAAUGUGACAACAACAAACAACACUUGUACUUAUUAUUAUGUCACUACUGCGCGUUUGAGUCAAAAUUUGAAUACGAAAUUCCCCCAACAACAACACCAGCAUCCCAAUGGUGGUGUAAUAUCCGUGUUAUUGUACCUCGGCGUGAUGGCGGGACUAUUUCAUUGCAGAUAACGUUCAAUCUUGAUGGUUGUCGUCCCAUUACCAUAAACGCACUGGCGCGUGUGUAUAGCCACUAUCAGCCAAUUCAUUUCCGAAAUGCCAUCAUCAUUUAAAGUCAUGUUUCAGGUUGUUGUUGCUGCCCUCUGGGGUCUAUCGGCAACAGUUUUAGCAACGACUAAACACAAUGACGUAAUAAGGACGGAAUUAUUAUCAUUUUCAUCCUGGAAUGAAACUUUACUCCAGCAACGGUCUGUCUGUCCGGAAGAUUAUUCCCCUUGCACUUGCGAUUUAACCGCUUACGGGCUGGAAGUCACCUGCACAGACGUGUCC